rnacentral:rRNA from 1 species
UACGAAGGGGGCUAGCGUUGUUCGGAAUUACUGGGCGUAAAGCGCGUGUAGGCGGGUCUUUAAGUCAGGGGUGAAAUGCCAAGGCUCAACCUUGGAACUGCCUUUGAUACUGGAGAUCUUGAGUCCGGGAGAGGUGAGUGGAAUUGCGAGUGUAGAGGUGAAAUUCGUAGAUAUUCGCAAGAACACCAGUGGCGAAGGCGGCUCACUGGCCCGGAACUGACGCUGAGACGCGAAAGCGUGG